rnacentral:rRNA from 1 species
AAUAUUGCACACUGGGGGAAACCCUGAUGCAGCAACGCCGCGUGAGCGAAGAAGGUUUUCGAAUCGUAAAGCCCUGUCCUAAGUGAAGAUAAUGACUGUACCUUAGGUGGAUGCCCCGGCUUACUACGUGCCAGCAGCCGCGGUAAUACGAAGGGGGCAAGCGUUAUCCGGAAUCAUUGGGCGUAAAGGGUGCGUAGGCAGCCUUAUGGGUCAGAGGUGAAAUCCUACGGCUUAACCGUAGGCAGCCUUUGAAACUGUAGGGGUUGAGUGCAGGAGAGGAGAGUGGAAUUCCUAGUGUAGCGGUGAAAUGCGUAGAUAUUAGGAGGAACACCAGUGGCGAAGGCGACUCGCUGGACUGCAACUGACGCUGAGGCACGAAAGCGUGGGUAGCAAAC